UGUGUGUGUGUGUGUGCAUUUGUGUGUUCUCUCUAACUGUCUAAACUCUAUCUGAACACAGGUUAACAACGCAACAGCAAGAGUUAUGACAAACAAAAAGGUGGCAAACCCAUACACGAAUGGCUGGAAGCUGAACCCAAUGGUGGGAGCUGUCUAUGGUCCUGAAUUAUAUGCAGUGACAGGUUUUCCCUACCCUAGUACAGGAGCGGCAGUAGCCUAUCGGGGAGCUCAUUUGAGAGGGAGGGGGCGGGCCGUCUAUAACACAUUCCGUGCCGCGCCCCCACCCCCACCCAUGCCUGCCUACGGAGCGUGA